AGCAGUCGCCGCGGUAAUACGGAGGGUGCAAGCGUUAAUCGGAAUUACUGGGCGUAAAGCGCACGCAGGCGGUUUGUUAAGUCAGAUGUGAAAUCCCCGAGCUUAACUUGGGAACUGCAUUUGAAACUGGCAAGCUAGAGUCUUGUAGAGGGGGGUAGAAUUCCAGGUGUAGCGGUGAAAUGCGUAGGGAUCUGGAGGAAUACCGGUGGCGAAGGCGGCCCCCUGGACAAAGACUGACGCUCAGGUGCGAAAGCGUGGGGAGCAAACAGGAUUAGAUACCCCGGUAGUCCCUGUCUCUUAUAC
rnacentral:rRNA from 1 species